GAUGAACGCUAGCGACAGGCUUAACACAUGCAAGUCGAGGGGCAGCGGGGGAUAAGCUUGCUUUUCCUGCCGGCGACCGGCGCACGGGUGAGUAACACGUAUGCAACCUGCCCCUGUCAGAGGGAUAAUCCGGAGAAAUCCGGUCUAAUAUCGCAUAAAGCGUUUGCGGGGCAUCCUGCGAGCGCCAAAGGAGUAAUCCGGACAGGGAUGGGCAUGCGGCGCAUUAGCUAGUUGGGGGGGUAACGGCCCACCAAGGCGACGAUGCGUAGGGGUUCUGAGAGGAAGGUCCCCCACAUUGGUACUGAGACACGGACCAAACUCCUACGGGAGGCAGCAGUGAGGAAUAUUGGUCAAUGGGCGGAAGCCUGAACCAGCCAAGUCGCGUGAGGGAAGACGGCCCUAAGGGUUGUAAACCUCUUUUGCCGGGGAGCAAAAGCGCCGUGCGCGGUGCUAUGAGAGUACCCGGAGAAAAAGCAUCGGC
rnacentral:rRNA from 1 species